GUAUUCACAUCUACUUUACAGAUGAUUAAUCAAUAAUUAAAGUUUUAACUAUUCGUAUCGAGGAGUUAAUCAAAGUUUGGAAUUCUUCGAAAGUCUCCUCAUCGCUCAGUAAAGACCAGAAGUGUAAGGUUUGCAAGGUUGUAAUGCAACAUUGGGGAAAAGACCAUCACAUUACUUCACAAUUCCACACCGACAUCAAAAUGGCUGACUGUAAUCCAGAAUACAGGAAUAUGGAAGGAGGGUUUAUGGGGUCGUCCGAACUUACAGGGAGUUUUCUUUCAAUACAAAAAUGACUGACGUCACUCAUAAUACACUUUACAGUGGUGAUAACUGAUGGUAACAUGGUACUACUCGGCGUGUGAUAUCGAUAUGGAGGGGCGAGAUGAAAGGAAUAUAUUGUAUAAAUUCAUAUAUCUUCAGACCAUUGGAAUAUACGACUGUGCUACCAAAUCUCAUGAACUCUUCUACUAGGACUUACACAUUUGAAGCAGAAACAUCACUAGGAAAGCACCUUCAUGCGGAGAAACUUGGGAAAGAAAAAGAAAACACUUCCUAUCUGAUGUGAAGAAGGGAUGAGCCGAGAAUAAAUCCGGAGGCACUGCAUUGGCAUAAUAUUGAUUUUGUUUUGAAACUGUGUUUUCUUAUUUUAUUUCUGUUGAUCGGUUAAUCAACCUGAGAAUAUGUGCAUAUUGAAUACAAACUUGUCACAUGUUUACUAUCCAUUCGUCCAAAUUUUUUCUUUCUCUGAUACCAUUUUAUGAUUGUCGUUGGUGUCCUCCAAGCAUGAUACAAAACUCAUGGGUUAAAUAAUUGAAUUUUUGGUGAAUUAGUAUUUUUUUUUCCAUAGAAAAUUGUUGGCUUUGCUUGUAUAUGUAGCUUAUUCCUGCAAGUCUAUUUAUAUUGUUCCCAGUCCAUUUUGACUGCCAACUGGACGAGAGGCGGUUUGAGUUAACCACAUAUGGAUUUCAUCAGUUCUGGUGCGAAUCUGGAAAUCCUGUCUUUUGCAGUGGCUCGGAGUUCCACCAGAGUAUUUUUUUUAUAGUGUGAACCGAGUCUUCAUAUGAUCAUUGCGCUUUAUUGGUAGUGCGCUACACAUCUUGUGGAGUUGCCCUAAAAAUCUAAUUUCUGUCAAUAGGAAGCGAAAUACGGAGGAAGCCAUUCAUAUGGCUAUUGAGACAAUAUAUCUACGG